UUCACUCUCAUUUCAAAACAUUUCAAAAUGCCCGCUUCCUGCUCCCCUCUCUCUCUCUCUACCCCCGGCGAUUCCAGAUCUAGAUCUGGAUCUAGGGUUUUUCUCCAUCACGUUUCUACUACUCCAAUUCCUCAUGGAAAUCCUUGGAAUCAAACUCAAGUCUAGGUUUUGAACUUCACGGAGAGUUGAAGAUGAUGCAAGCUGUUGUUUUAAUUGGUGGUGGUUAGCAAUGAUCGAGAUGGUGGUGGUCUGCGGCUUGUGGUGGUAAUGGUUAGUGUCAACAGAUUCUGGUGACCCAACCUAGGGUUUAGAGUUUCGACCAGAUUCUGGUAGCCCUAUCUAGGGUUCUGACCAUAACCCUAAUCCGGUGAAAGUUGUAGAUCUGGUCAGUAAGGGAAUGAAAACGAAUUUCGUGUUGUGUGGUACUGUAUCUCUCAUUUCACCAUUUUUAAAAUUUUUUAAGUUAUAGCAAAAGAUGAGGUUUUAAUUUUAGCUAAGGUUCAUAAAAACUUCAUUAGAGAUGAUGGGGUUUUAGUUUUUGAAAUGGGGGGGUUUUGGGUUUAAUGGGGUUUUAGUUUUUGAAAUGGGGGGUUUUGGGUUUAAUGGGGUUUUGAAGGGAUAGCUCAAAGGUAAAUAUUUGGGUCCUGUCAAAACGGGUUAGGUUGACCUGGAAUUUACCUGGAACUUCAAAGAAAAUGAAGAGGUUCUGACCAUAACCCUAUCUGUGUAAUUUACCGGUGAAAGCUGUGUAAUUUGUUCCGAAAGCCACCAGGGUGAUGCUCGAAAAUGGCAGUGGUGAUGAUGGUCGUAGGUGGUGAGACAGUGGUUAGAGUGGUGUUAAAGUUGGAUCUCCUGAUCUUACUGGAUGGACAACAACUGCUGGAGACCUAUGUGAUGAGAAAUGGCAAGGUGUUGUCUGUGAAACUACUAAUACAAAUAGUAUAUCAAUAAUUGUUCAUGGUGCUAACUCAGUACGAGAAUUGGGUGAUACCCUAGGAGCAUUUUCUUCCCUCCAAAGCAUGCUGGCAUGGGAGCCCUUCUUCUAAACAUACUUUCAAAGUAUUCAGAAGCAUUCUCUUCAAUGAUUGAGGGGAAGAACGAACAGAUGUCAACAUCUGAGUUGUCUGGAGGAGCAAGGAUACACUAUAUAUUUCAGUCAAUAUUCGUCAAGAGUUUGGAGAUGCGCCUUCACUUGUGUAUCUAUAGAUGAAGUGGAUCCUCGUUCGGUUUGUUUACAGCCCUACCUAUUACAAAGGUGUAAAAUUACCCGUUGCUCCAAGGGUCAUCGUUUGUUUUGAUGGUUACUUUUAUAUAAUAUAUUACAGAUGGACUACAUAAACACCUCGGCUUUUGAAGUAACUCGGCUUUUGAAGGUUCGGCUUUCGUGAGACUUCCUUCCUGCAAAUCAUGAUAACCGAAACUUCUAUCCAUGGGCUAUGAGGUUUUGAAGAGAGUUGUUGAUGUGAUUGGGCAAUAUGAUAGAAAAAAGCUUGAGCAAUUAAGCGGCUGUUAAUGAAGUCUACCUUGGUAAAUGGUGUGUGGUAGCCAGUGAGACGAUGGUGGUGUUUUCUAGCAGUUAAGCAGCAGAUUGCCCUGAUUUAGGGGUUACCGGUUUGCCUACUGAAGCUGCUUUAAAAGUGCUGGUAGAAAAAAUGGGAGUUCCUGAUGUUAAUGCCCGAAAGAAAAUUCGUGGGUUGCAGAUUAUGGCAAACUAUUUGAUUGAUAACAAUAGUGUUAAGUUA